CAUUAUCGAANAUCGAGGGGGANUGUCGCUGGCUUCGGAGCGAUCUGGAGCAUGUGCACGUCUCUUUUCUUACACACACUCGUGCACACUUUGUAGGCCCUCGAGAGAGGGACUACGUUUUUCCACAUCACAUCCUUACGGGUAUGUAACAUGGAUGG
rnacentral:misc_RNA from 1 species